CAGGAUACCGAAAUAAAGUCAGAAUUUUUUUAAUGCAAAUAAUGAAUUAUGUACUGGUUAAUACUACACCAUUAUUAAAACUCUUGUUGUUUGGGAUUUUUUUAUUUUGAAAAUUCCAUUUUGACAAUAUUUUUCUCCUACAUAUUUUGCAUUCCUUGUUCAUCUCCCUCAUAACUCACAGGAAGGUGAUUUCACACACUGCUCAGCACACUGCAUAGGAACUGUUGAUUUCUUGAAUAAGCUACAGAUGCCUUCAUCAGUUUUUCAGUUUCAGACUUCUUGAAAUAUUCAGUUUGCAAAACUGGUAUUUUACUUGUAAUCUGUCUUUAUAAACUCACAGAAGAUCUCUUGUAAUGCACUGUGUAUGAGUUUGCUCUUUUCCUCCUUAUCUUCAUAUAUCCAUACAACAUUCACAGACGUUGUGUGUAUCACAUACAACAGUAUAUUCUAAAUGUUAUUCCUUGCAUUUUAAAGUCAUUUUGCCUCAAGUAAUUCAGCUUUAUCAGAUUAAAGUUCACAGUCAUGUGGAAUCAAUAUUUUUAUAUGAAUAUAUAUAACUUCUUAAAAAACUAUCUGAGCAAUGCUUAUGAAUAUAUCUUACUGAUUUCUACUAAAUAUGAUAAAUUUUUCCUUGCUGUUCCUACCUCAAGGAAAUCAGUAGGAAACUUAUCACAAGUCACAGUGGAUCUUUGGACCAAACUUAUAAAACUAUGGUAUUAUCAUUAAAGUUAGUGCUCAACAAUGACCAUGACAGAAUGAAGAUGGCCUCAAUUGUUAUGUAAUUCUACCAUAGUAAGUAGAAUUAAGCAACAGAAGUAGUAUGCAUGUUACCUGUAAGAAAUCUUGUCUAUUUUUUCAUGAAUGCCUGCAUACCAAUUUCUACCAGAAUGCAGUUAAAUUUCUGCUAAAGAACAUCUGAUGGGAUAGUUCUGCCUAUUGCAAUGAUACAAGCAUUGUAAGAGUUUCUUAUCAGACUGAAAAAUGAACUCACAUACAUUAUAAUAGUGAACAUGACUGGAAAAUUUCCAAUUCAAAAUAUUAAUUAUUGAGUUUAUUCAAAACAACAGGUAAUACCAUCAAGAGAAUUGUUUCAAAUUUAUCUAGGUGACAACAUUUUAGUUUUUCAGUUUUGGGUGAAAAAUCAAAAUACUAAGUCAUUCAUGCAAAAUGGAAUUUUGGAAAACAUCCAUUUUAAAUAAAAAAUUCAGAUUUGAAACUUAAUUUCUCAAUUUCAUUCCAUCUCAUUCCAUUUCAUUAAUUUAAAUACCAAAUGAACUAAUUCACGUGUUAUACACUAUGAAAAAAUUCAGUUGAUCAAAACUAGCCCCUUACUGAAUACAGUUUCAAUUCAUCAUGUUCUUUACAGCUCUACAUUUCCAAUGAAGCAAUCAGAUACUUCUUACUACAUACUGAAUAUAUCCUUUUUCCAGGACAUGAAUCUUACAAUAAAUAUGUCGCUUUUUCUGAUGACCGAAGAAAUCAGUAGUCCUGUUAACUUUUUACCUAGAGAGUUAAAUAUGACCAAUUUUUGAAAGAAAAAUCCUUAAUUCCUGAAAAAAAGGGGGAGUUUUAACAGAUGUUAAAACAUCUAUAAAAUGUAAAUGCUCAAUCACAAUGAUAUUCAGAAUACUCUACAACUUUUUUCUAAGUUAGAUGAAAAUUUAGUAACAUAACAGUAGAAUAUUGGAUAGCAUAGAGUUAGUUUUAUUUUGCUACAGUGUUACAGAUUGUUAUAUUGUAUUAUUGUACUUCUGAAAUAAUGUCUUGUUUCUUUACAAUUCUCUGGCCAAUAAUGCACAUUCAGUUUUUUAUUCCUCUUCCUUGCAUUUACAAUUACAAAAUUUAAUCAGACCAAAAGGCUGAUUCUAAAGGUUAAAUACACUAUAGUAUAAACAAUUAUUACAAAUUAUUAAUUAAAUUAUUAAUAAAAAGAAGCAGAUUGUUUCAGCAAAAAAUUUUUCAAUAUGACAAUUUCAAUCCAUGAAAAACAAAACAAAACAAGAAAUUACCAAAAACCAACCAAGCAAACAAGCAGAAGCAGUAUACAAGUCUAAAUGUUACUGUGAGUUUAACCAACGUCUGGAAAGAAUAAUGGAAGAAAACAGCUGUUUCAUUAAAAACUUGAGUCAAAUAACUCAGGAAAAAUUCUUACACCAGAUCCUCAUCUGCUGUAAAUUGUUGUGGCUGUGUUACCUUCUUGAACAUUUAGAAAGGACUGUUCAUGUAGGUAUCACAGCAAGUUUCACUGAGUGAGGAUCUGUCUACUGAGUAGGGCAAAUUACAUGUAUUUUGAACAAAUUCAUUGAGUCAGUGACUUUGUCAAUCAAUCUUAUUCCAGGACUUCUACUUUUGUAUCUCUUUGUUUCAGCUGUAAAGUGAAGGCUUAUGCAAAGUGAACUAAAUCUUAUCAAUCAAAGAGUCCGCAUCUUCAGUGACUGCAAUUCUUUGAAGUGUUGGGAGAAACAGAAAUAUUUAUCAUGUUCUCAAGGUGGUUUCUGAAGCUUUCAACCUUGUAUCUAGAUUACAGCCAAUGCCUCUUUCGUCAGCCCUUUUUAGACUGUUAAAUCAGCAGUUUAAAAAGACGUUCUCAGCAUGGGAAGCACAGGGGAACUAGGACACAUAAUCAAUCUUCAGACUCCCAAGAAACCUGCUAACGGGAUUUUAUUUCUGUAGUCAUCCAAAGGAUUAGACUGCUUGCUAAAACACCUUCACUCACUCUCUACCUCUUACUCUUUGUGUGCCUUAGCCCUUUUUCCUCUCUCUGUGAUACAAUAAUGCCUAUUUUUUUCUUUUUAAUUGUUUUUGUAAAAUAUCCACUGCUACUUUUUCACUCGGCCAAGUACAUUCUGCAGUGAGAUCACAGCUGCUUAUAACACUUGAAAGAUACACUCAGCACAGUAUCUUCAAUAAAAAAGUAACCCAAACCCUACUAUAGGGUUUAUUAGUGCUUUUUGGAAGUUCAUCCAGAAAGAAAAUAGCAAUAGCUUUUAUAUCUGUCAUUAACUGCAUGCUAUCAUAGAACUAAAGAAGUUAAUAUCUUCUCAAGCUAGUGGUGUCUUGAUCAUUGAUAAGUAGAAGCUUAUAUUUACUGUGCAGUGUUUUAAUUCCCUCUGGCACCUUACUCACUUCUGAAUGCACAAUUUGGUUUAUAAGUAUUGUUCCACUUUCUUACAUGCCACACUGUGUUCUCUCAUUGUUUUCUGUUCCUUUAAGCCAUUUCCCUGAGAUACUGUAAUAAUCUCGAUAUCUUCCAGUCACUUCAUUAGUCUCCUCUGGUAGCCAUCCUCAUAGUGAGCUCUUGACAGCACUCAUCAAUUCUGGAUGCUUCAAUUAAUUGAACCAGCACCUAUCUUCUCUCUGCUUCUGUUAGCUCCUUCCACCAGUACUUUGAAACACCCAGCAAAGCAAUACUGUGGGACAGUAACAGCUCAGUGACUUCAGCACAGUGAGAAUGGGCCAAUAGUUUAAUCAGAAAUUUUAGUCAGAAAUAUCCUGCCAUCUCCCCCUGCUCCAAAUUCAAUUUUCAACUCUGUUUCUAGGGACUCAUAAUAACAUAGAAACCAAGAGAGAUAGAUGAAAUAUACUUUUUUUGAUUUUUUUCCCUACUUAGUAGGGGUAUGCUGUUUCCUAGAUUGAUGAACUCAUGAGAGAGUGAAGUCAGAGGCCUUAAAGAAAAUGUACAAUCCUUUCCCGUUGUCCUCUAUUCGUGCAUCUGGGAUCCACAUUGAACUAAGGAGGAAGAAACACUCUUUGCUGUAAUCUUCCAUUGGAGUAUAUACUUGCUGGUAAGUGCUUUUAAAUUAAUACUUGUGUAUUUCCCAUUAAUCUGUUGGGUUUAUACUUUUAACCAUACCAACUAAUUUGGGAUCUGUCCCAAUGCAAAGACAAAUUACAUCUACUCUUCUGCAGCUGUUCAGUAGGAUGUCACCAAGUUUAUUAUAAGGUAGUCACCUCUAAUUAGAAAAAAAAAAAAAGUAAGUUAGUCCAGAAGGAGAAUUAGAGUUUUAAUCAAUAUCCUUGCUCAGAAAUGUUCCUAUUUCUUUUAUUUCCUUUUUUAUUUCUUCCUUUUUGCUAGCAAGCAGAACUAUUAUGAAGGUACUAUGGUGCAAUUGAGUGCAUGUUAUAAUUGAAUAGAGAACAACAUUUUUGCUAUAGUUGUGACAAUUGUCUUCCUGUAAAGUGUGCUGUUUCUCUAGAGUAACUUGGAUCUCAUAAACAAUGAAUUUGAAUGUCUUAUACAGCUUGUUAGUUAUUGACAGUAAAGGAAUGAUCCAAUUAGUAAGUGAUUAAUCACAGGUUUCUUUAGGUCUCAAACUGUGUAUUGAAAAUUUAUGGAAUAAAAGAGUAUUUCAUGCAUAUCUUCACCUAAUGGGUAAUCACCACCUGAGAAUGAGAACUAUUUUAGAAAACGAACAACAUGAGCAGUAGCACAAAGUACUAAUUAUUUGAUUAAUUUUCCUUGUCACUGAGAAACAUACCUUUGCCAGGCAAUCAUAAUUAUAAUGAUAUUAAAAUUAAUUAAUAUUUUAUUGUCCACAAACAGAAAUGAAAAUAUUCAACAUUUCCAGCUUAACCAACUAUUUGGCAUUUCAACAGCAUAUGAAAAUAAAAUUUGCUAUACAGAAUUUAAUUGCAAGAUUAUGAGACAUGAGAAAAUGUGCAUAAUUUCAAAGACUGAAAAGGUUUAAAUGCUAUUUUUAGAGAAACCUUCUUAAUGUGGAAAGUGAAAUGUUCACCACCAGUGAAAUAAUAAAGGAAGUACAUAAUCCUUUAAAUAAAAUAUAAAAUAUUCAUAUUUUUAUUUUGUGGAUGUACAAAUGUUUGUAGCAUGUGCAUUGCAGUAUGAUUUAUCAAGCUAUAUUGUACUGCCCCAUUAUUAUAUGAUUUCAGUUGUUCAGUCACUAAAAGUAUCUACCAAUUUUUCUUUAUUCCAGGCUAAACAAUCAUGACGAAAUUUCAGAUAAAUACUAACCUUAUUAUGCUUAAAUCUGACAGCCAUGUGGAAUAUAAUAAUGGUGUUUUAAUAAAGUAGAUGAUGAAAUAUGAUAGAAAAAUAUAGACUUGUCAGGGCUGAACUAUAGCCCCCAAAUCUUUUCAGUUUUGCAAUAAAAUAAUUCAACCCAUAUUCAGCAUAGAAAAAAUGGAAGACUUCUUAAAUAAUAUUUCAUAUGCUGCUUGUUUAAAGAAACGUAUUCUUGAUCUUGGUGUACUCUCUGUAUCUCAGCUGCAAGACUGACCUAGGCACCCUGCGUUCCCUUCGUAGGCAAUAGAGAAAACUGGGACUUCAUCAACGUAAUUCUUUUCAUCUCAAAGUAGACGGUUAAAAUAUAUGGGCUAAAAGCACUCAUUUUUCAGAAUUGGCUGCAAGAGUACUUUGAAGUCACAUAGGUUUCAACUUUAUUCUUUUUGUCUUUCCAACUCAGUAUAAGACUGUAGAUUCAUCAGAGAAAGUAGCUUUGACUGAGCAUAAUCUGCCUUCAGUAAACCAGGGAAAAUAAAGGCAAGAAAGGAUUCCUUUGGAAGACUAUCUUUGUGGUCCUGUCUAUAGUUAUCUUUCAUGGGCACAAUAUGACAGAAUAGACGAAGAGCUAGUGGAGUUGAAGAUUUCUCAAAUCAUGCAAUUUCUGAAGAGCUGGUUGCUCAGUUUUUAUUUAUGCUUCUUCUCUAGCUGAUUUUCAAAAAAUAAAAAUCACUUGACAGAUUUGUCUGUGCUUUGCAUUCACCAUUAAAAAAUACAGACUGAGCUACUUCACAGAAAAACUCUACAGAUAGCAUUACUGGCCUUUAUGACACCAAACUAUUGUUGUGCUUGACCUUUAGCUGGUAACUGCCAGUAGAUUUCUAACAGGCUUUUUCUAAAAGAAUUAAAUGAUGAAUAAAGACAGCUCUGGACUUGUUUGCUGAAUAAAAGCAAAAGUAAUAGUUUUGCUGAAUUUAUUCAGACAGCCUGGGUAAUGAUAUCAUAAACAGAGAAACUAUCCUGACAGAAUACAAAAAUCUGACUUUUCACAUUGAUGGUAUAUUGACCUUCUUUCAUCUUUCAUCCUUCCCUUAUAUUUAGAGGGACAGUAGACAAGUGUGUCAAGGUAAUUUUUCUGGAGUUCUUAGAAUUUAUUGCAUCUAGUCAAAUUAUUUCUUAUUAUUGUGACUGGUUUGGAAACUGUGCUAUAGAUAUUUAUGUCUUCUUUUAACCAUCAUCAGAAUAGAACAAUUAAGUUCUGAUUCUGGCUUUUCCUACUUUUUAAUAGUGAUUCUGAAACACAUUGAAUGCUUAGUAGUGUGUCAGAAACACAAGCCAUUCCUAAAUGUAGGUCUGUGGGGUUCUUCUCAGGGCUCUGACAAUUUUUUAUUCUAGUACAGGGAGGUUUUGUUACUUUUACUGUUUUAUUUCAGUUCAUGUUAAAAAUUUUUUUUUACUUGUUUAUCAGUCCUGAUUUGUUCCAAUUUGAUUCAUUCCCACCUCUAACUUAAAUGAAACUAGGAAGGUGCAUCAAGAGAAAGCAAAACUGCUGUUGGACUUACAUAGCAUUUGAAUGAGUUCUGUGAAAGUCACGUUAGAAAAGACAGAGGGUAACACGCUUUAGCUGAUGACAGAGCAGGAUUUAUUUCUUCUGUCGUUCCUGAGGAACCUGCAUAAAUUUUUCAUGACUGUAUUAAUGAGUAUGUAGAUGAAGUAAAAAUUAUGCCAAUAUUCCUGUUGCAUGGGCUGAUUUGAAUCAACCAGAUAGAGGAUAAGCAUAUCUCUUUUUCAUUGUGAACUGUAAUCCUGAAUCUUUUGAAUAUCAGAUUUGGUUUAUUAAAAUAUGAUUUUUAUUAACCAAUGCAUGAAAAUUAACAAGAAAACACAACUAGUCCAAAAUGUAGAUUGUGUUUUAUUUACAGUAUGCACUAGACCCAUAUUCCACAAACUAGACUGGUUUUCAGUUUGUCUCUGGGAACACCUAUAUUUUUCCAGAGUGUUUUCUUUUGCAGUGUAACAGAACUUGAACUUGUGGACAUUUGGGGUUUGUUGCAAAACUCUAUUCCUUGCUUAAGCCUUUAAAAAAAAAAAUUAUUUUUUAUUUGUCUGUGAAACGUUUAAACCCUUCAGAAGAUAAAGUUUUCAUUGGGUCAGUGACAUGGUCCUGGUCAUACUGAGACAUUUAAAGAGGAGAAUAAUUGUGUUUUGGGAGAAAUCAUUGGAUACAAAUAUUGGCUAAGUUAUUAUAUUUUGUAAGGUAUUUAGAAAUUGGGCAAGAAUUUAAUGUCUUGGGUUGGAGUGCAGGAAUUUUUUCUUAAUAUAAUGAAUUUAAUAGAUCUAGCACCUUUCUUCUGCCUUCAAGCCAAUUAGGUAUCUUUCACAAAAUUUUAACAUGAAACCACCAUAUGACCUGAUUCUGGUGUGAGUCUUAUGUUGUGUAGAUGACUCAGACAAUAGAUGGACUCAGCGUUUGUAUUUCUCAGACAGUUUCCCACUGUUUUUUGUCCAUGGUUGUUCAGGUAGAAUAGAUAUCUACCUAUCUGAUUUACUUACACUGUCACAUAGAUCAUGUUAUGUAAUUUAUCUUUCAAAUUUUUCAUGGAUAAAGAAAUUGAAAUUAUACAAGUAGGCCCUACUCUCACUUCAAGGUUCCUUUAAAAUAAUCAGAAAGAAAGAAGUUAAUAUGGCUGAAUCAAUUGAAAGAGUUUUACAAAAUUUUGUUGGCCUAACUUUUAGAAAGACAGCAAGACAGAGAACGGAAGAACCUUAACUUGAAUCUCAAAGGUCUAUCGCUUAAAAGCUUCCAUUUUCAUGAACUGUGUGAAAUGAAAAAGCAUUCCAGAAUGCAGACAGUGCCCCAGAAAGUUUUUUGAAGCUCUCUUGGCUUUCAGAGAGAGAAUAAGCAGAAAGACACAGAGUAUCAUUUUAGUCCCAAAGAAAAUAUUUAAUUCUCUAUUUGUUAUUGAAUAUUAGAAUUCCAUGGGUUGAUUCAGAGAACUUUAAUUAAAUUCCCCCCAGGCAGACUUUUAGGUGCUGACUCCAAACUUACCUGAUAUUAGAAGACAAAUUUGCCAGUGAAAUUAAGUCUAAGUGUGUAAGUUACAGCAGCCUCAAGAUAGUAGCGAAUUCCACACUGGUAAUUAAGGUUCAUUUAUAAAACUGUUUAUUCUGGUUUAGUGGAAAGGUAUUAUUAUUUCCCUUGAUAAAUAUUUGAGGUACUCUUCAUCUUUUAAAAGUAUCUAAUCUAAAAGCAGAAAAAAGCAAAAUAAUAUAAUUUGUACGCUACUCCCUUUGUUUCUCUUCUGCAUUUUUGAGAGGGGUGUUAUUUUUAUGUAGCAGAAGGCUACAGCACCUGGGAUGCCAAACUCUAUGCAUGUCUAAAGUAGACUGAAGAUCUGCAGAACAUACUGCAACAAGCAGUCAGCACUGGUAGGCACUCCACAUAGAGCCACAAUGCUAAUUCUCCUUUUUCUCUUCAUAUCUUUUAAGAUAUUAUUUUAAAAAAAAUUCACAUUAUAUGUACCCUGGAUUAUUUUCUUUGUCUUUAAGUUACCAAGAUAAGUUAUGUAAAAUGUGUCCUAUAUUUGAUUUUUUUUCUCAAUUAUUUAUCAUAUGAUGAUAUGGUUAAUGAAAGAAAAUGCCUCUGUGCAGAAAUAGGUUGAUGUAUUUUCAUCUCUAGACUAGGAGACAGGUUCUGCUGAAAUGUAGGAGGAAAUCUGAGAUAUUGCACUUAAAGGAUUUCAUUCAGGCUCAUGUAACUUAGUGCUACAAUUAAUAAACAUGCACAUUGAGUUCUUCCAUACACUUGGUGUGCAUAUGCCUCUGCUAACAACAGAAGAUAAUGUGCUCUUUAAAAUAUUUUCAAAUAUGGCUCUUCCAACAUGGGUGAUAGAAUAGUGCAUUCUUCACUCAAAGUUCACAGAAAAGGUAUUCAGAACUACUAAUGGCAAUAAAGAAUAAAACACUCUCCCAAAUGCUCUUCCAAAAAUGUACAGGUACUUUUUUUAGAGGUUAAAAGGAAAGCAAUCCUACUAUAACAGUAACAAAAAUCACAAUAAUAAUAAUAAUAACAGUGAGAAUACUAAUCCUACCUAAACCAGGGCAAAAUACACAGUGAAAAUCCAGCAAUGCAUAUAGCAACAUUUUACAGUAUGGUAAACAAACACAGGUGUGAUACUGGAUCUGAAUCUCACUGAAUUAUUGAUAUGGAUUGGAACCAACUCACUGUGUGUGGGGGGGGCGGGAAGGACUGGGCCCAGACCUACAGGUCCAUGAUAAGGCCUGCAGAGAGCACAUGGUUUGCAGCCCACAAGGCUGAGCUGAGAUGUCAGUCAAGGAAGACCCACCUGGUAGCCCAUCCACACCAUGCCCCUGGAGCCUGUGACUGGCUACAGCACAUCUCACUCUAACCUGGAAGGCACUGACCAGAUAUCCUGCCUGGGAUGGAAAACUAAACUGUAUAAAUACAGGAGACUCCAUGUGAGCUCUUUUCUCUAUUUUCUUCUGCUGCCUGAACCACGUGAAUCAUCAAAUCUUGUCACUAACUAUUUUUCCCUUCCUGUCUUGCCUUCCCUCUUUCUAUUCUCUUUUUUCUCUCUUUCUUUACUCCUUUAAUCUGUUUUCUUCUUUUACGCUUUUCUUUCUCUUGUGGAUAGCUUAAAACCAAUUAAUUGUAUUAAGCUGCUAUAUUGAUUGAUUGCAAUAGGUGUUUUCUGUGAACUGAUUUUUUGUGAUGGGUGUUUUAAUAAAGUGCUUUUCUUGGUUGUAUUUUACUCCUGUAAAACCUGUUGCCAAAAUAUCUUAUUUUUCUCACUAAAUUAAAAAGAAUUUCUCUUAGAGAA